GGUUUUCUCAUUUUCUUUAAUUUUUUUGUCUUUUAAUAAUUUAUUUUCUCUGCCCUCGAUUUGUCGACUUGAUGAACGGAAGGGAUGACCGGCCCAAAAGCAGUCACGUUUGCAUCUCGGUGGAUUGUAUGGAGAUUUCUUCACAAGCGUAGGAUGCAACAAAACUGAGAGGUUAUGAUUGACUUGCUCGCAGCACUAGCACUUUAGUUACUUUGUAAUUAGUAAAAUACAAGCUUAGUCAUUGUGUAGUCCGUGUAAUCUAGUCCUCAAUUUUUGAAAAUGUUCAUUUGGGUCAUAAAAAAUUUAAAAUACGGUGCAUCAAACUCCUAUGCAGUGGUGUACGUAUUUUGAUAAAGUCGUAUCUAACUAACGGGGCAUUAC
rnacentral:lncRNA from 1 species